UACGUAGGGUGCAAGCGUUGUCCGGAAUUAUUGGGCGUAAAGAGCUCGUAGGCGGUCUGUUACGUCGGCUGUGAAAACCUGGGGCUCAACCCCGGGCCUGCAGCCGAUACGGGCAGACUAGAAUUCGGUAGGGGAGACUGGAAUUCCUGGUGUAGCGGUGAAAUGCGCAGAUAUCAGGAGGAACACCGGUGGCGAAGGCGGGUCUCUGGCCCGGUACUGACGCUGAGGUGCGAAAGCGUGGGGAGCAAACAGG
rnacentral:rRNA from 1 species